rnacentral:rRNA from 1 species
GACGAAAGAGGGGGGAGGGCGGAACACAUGCAAGUCGAACGGAAAGGCCCUGCUUUUGUGGGGUGCUCGAGUGGCGAACGGGUGAGUAACACGUGAGUAACCUGCCCUUGACUUUGGGAUAACUUCAGGAAACUGGGGCUAAUACCGGAUAGGAGCUCCUGCUGCAUGGUGGGGGUUGGAAAGUUUCGGCGGUUGGGGAUGGACUCGCGGCUUAUCAGCUUGUUGGUGGGGUAGUGGCUUACCAAGGCUUUGACGGGUAGCCGGCCUGAGAGGGUGACCGGCCACAUUGGGACUGAGAUACGGCCCAGACUCCUACGGGAGGCAGCAGUGGGGAAUAUUGCACAAUGGGCGGAAGCCUGAUGCAGCAACGCCGCGUGCGGGAUGACGGCCUUCGGGUUGUAAACCGCUUUCGCCUGUGACGAAGCGUGAGUGACGGUAAUGGGUAAAGAAGCACCGGCUAACUACGUG